UGUAAAGCAGAAGUCGCUUAAGAUCCUGUGGGGGAUACAUGUUUGCUUGUGGUGGAUCUUGUAAUCGUCAUUUCUGUUUUAGAUUCCUCUUACAGGCCACAGCUUUAUGAAAAAUUUGGAACAUGGACUGAUGUUCGAAACUCUGCUGAACAAUUUUCCCGUAAGUUUCCUUUAUCAACUCCUUACGAAUAUAUUUACGAACAGUACAAGGGACGUUUCAUUUGGACAGGACUUUCUAGAAACACGUCAUCAUCAAGACCGCUGGCUACACCAACCGAAUGCUUCAAGCUUCAACGGCGUGAACAAACGCUACACGAAAAGUCUGAAACAUGUAAUCUCAAGCUGCCAUUCUUCUGUCAAAAAGGUCCAGUUAACUGUGGUGACAGUUUAAUGCAAACCGAACUUAGUCUCAACUUUACAAUAGACAGUGGAAGUUAUGACCUAAAUUGCAUAUGGAGGAUCAAGGAAGUUGAUAACACGGUCAUUCGAAUUGACAUUUCGUUUGACAUAGAAGAUUGUCCAGAUUGUGAAUGUGACAGUUUGAAGAUUUACGACGCACCAUUGACAAAUGGACCACCAAAUAAAACAGUGUGCGGAUCCGGACAGGUGACAUUUAGUUCAACCCAAAAAGCAUUGACCAUAGUGUAUACUUCGGAUAGGUCCGAACAAGGAACCGGAUUUCAAGCUAAGUGGA